rnacentral:rRNA from 1 species
UACGGAGGAUGCGAGCGUUAUCCGGAUUUAUUGGGUUUAAAGGGUGCGCAGGCGGCACGGCAAGCCGGCGGUCAAAUCGCGGGGCUCAACCCCGCCCAGCCGUCGGAACUGCCGGGCUAGAGUGGGCGAGAAGUGCGCGGAAUGCGUGGUGUAGCGGUGAAAUGCAUAGAUAUCACGCAGAACUCCGAUUGCGAAGGCAGCGCACCGGCGCCCUACUGACGCUCAGGCACGAAAGCGUGGAUAUCGAACAGG